rnacentral:rRNA from 1 species
UACGGAAGGGGGCUAGCGUUGUUUCGGAUUUAGCUGGGCGUAAAGCGCACGUAGGCGGAUCUUUAAGUCAGAGGUCGAAAUCCCAAGGCUCAACCUUGGAAACUGCCUUUGAUACUGGGGAUCUUGAGUCCGGGAGAGGUGAGUGGAACUGCGAGUGUAGAGGUGAAAUUCGUAGAUAUUCGCAAGAACACCAGUGGCGAAGGCGGCUCACUGGACUCGGUACUGACGCUGAGGUGCGGAAAAGC